rnacentral:rRNA from 1 species
AGAGUUUGAUCAUGGCUCAGAACGAACGCUGGCGGCGUGGUUCAGGCAUGCAAGUCGAACGAUCCCCGCAAGGGGAUAGUGGCGGAAGGGUUAGUAACACGUGGGCAAUCUGCCCUCGAGUCGGGGAUAACAUCUCGAAAGAGGUGCUAAUACCCGAUGAUAUUCUCCGGUGGCAUCAUCGGAUUAUCAAAGGUGGCGCAAGCUGCCGCUUGAGGAGGAGCCCGCGGCCUAUCAGCUAGUUGGUGAGGUAACGGCCCACCAAGGCUUUUGACGGGUAGCUGGUCUAAGAGGACGAUCAGCAACAUUGGGACUGAGACACUGCCCAGACUCCUACGGGAGGCUGCAGUCGAGGAUCUUUAGCAAUGCCCGAAAGGGUGACUAUGCGACGCCGCGUGCAGGAUGAAGGCCUUCGGGUUGUAAACUGCUGUCAGGGGGGAAGAAUACCCGUCAUUUAAAAGAUGGCGGAUUGACAUCACCCCCAAAGGAAGCCACGGCUAACUCUGUGCCAGCAGCCGCGGUAAGACAGAGGUGGCAAGCGUUGUUCGGAUUCAUUGGGUGUAAAGGGUCCGUAGGUGGCCCGAUAAGUCCGGCGUGAAAUCCCAGAGCUCAACUCUGGAACUGCGUCGGAAACUAUCGGGCUUGAGUGCCGGAGAGGUAAAGGGAAUUCCAGGUGUAAGGGUGAAAUCUGUAGAUAUCUGGAGGAACACCAGUGGCGAAAGCGCUUUACUGGCCGGUUGCUGACACUGAGGGACGAAAGCAAGGGGAGCAAACAGGAUUAGAUACCCUAGUAGUCC